CUCCCGGGGCUCCAUUCCCUUCCCAGCUCCCUCAGCCUCUCCUGGGGCUCCAUUCCCUUCCCAGCUCCCUCAGCCUCUCCCGGGGCUCCAUUCCCUUCCCAGCUCCGUUCCCUUCCCUGGCCCCGCUCCAGCCCCUCCAUUCCCCGUGUGAGGGCCCAGAGGUGAUCCAGCACUGGAGCUGUGGCCUCAGCAGGGCCAGCACAGGGCCGGGCACUGCCCCGCUCCCGCUGCCACCCACGGCUGGCACAGCCCAGGGGCCAUCGGCUCUUGGCCGCCUGGGCACCCCUGGGCUCUGUCCGGCUGCUGCCACAGCACCCCAGGGCCUUUUCCAGCCCCUUUCCCCCAUCCUGGAGCUGCAGGGGUUGUUGUGACCCGAGGGCAGGAUCCAACACCUUACGAUGAAUUUUCCACACCUGAUUGAUGCUGCAGUGGCACAACAGCUGUGUCUGAUGCAAAGGGAGUGGUGGCAGCCUUUGGGGCUGGAAGGUGGCCUGGGGGUGAGUUCUCCUGUUUCUGUCUCACACACUGACUUUGUUGGACUGUGAAAAGCCUCUCUCGAAGCAAGAAGCAGGGAGGUGAAUGGCUGGCUGCAGAUUUUUCCAGCAGAAAAUGUCCUCAUUUCCUUGGUGGAAGCAUCAAUACAUGGAUAACCUGGAGGAGAUUGGAGGAGGGAGCGGAAACAGAGUUGAACUUCUCACUGCUGCCUGUCCAAAAGCACUCCACAGUAGCUUAGGUUCUACUUAUUGGUUUGGUGGUUUUCAUUCAUGCUUCAAAGCAAAGGAAAAAGGCAGAAAAAAUAGUGUUAUUUGAGACCAUUGCUGAUUUUUGAAAUAUCAGCUAAAGAAAGUGAGUGCUGUAUUAACCAAUUGCUUUUGGUUAAUUCCCAUCUACAUGGGAAUGUAGAUGAACUUUAUUGACCUACAAUGUGAUUCAAGUUAAUACUUAUAAGUUUUUUCGUGUAUUUCUAUUAGUAAACAAGAGAUUUUUUGAUGUGGAAAAAUGUAGUAAUACACAGUGAAGCUUUGCUGUUUUUGAAAUAUCUUUUUCAAUGUACCAUACUUUUCCCUUGUUUGCCACAGUUCAAGAGUAUGCUCCAUUUAGUACAGAAUCCUUCAGAUUCAUUUUAAUUAAUGUGUUGUGGGCCUUUCAAAUAAAACCCAUUACAUUUGUUAUUACCUUUUAAAACAGAAUUAAGUCAUUUGCCUCAGUCAUGGAAAAUGUGAGCUUAUCUUGAAUGUAAAUUAACUGCAGUAGUAAAUAGCUCUGUCUGUGUGUGUUUCCUUAUGUGGGCUCACAUGCUUUUAGCUUUAAUUGAGGACACUAAUUUUACUUUUGGAGAAUUAUAAAUUCCAUGCGUCAGAACUUUAAGUGGUGGGCAUUAAGAUAUGCUGGUUACUUCUAUUUGGAAAAGAGAAUUGCAUAGCUGAUCUUUUGUCACGUGAAAUCCUUAUCCUCACAGCUGAAAUGUUUGCAGCCUUUGUUCAGGUAGUAUUCUUUACACUGAAUAGCUGCUUUUAUGACCAUUUUCCUGAAUUACUCUACAUUAUAUUCGGUUAUUUCCUGCUCCAAAUGCAGUGUGUGACUUUAGAUCAGUGACAACAGCGAACUGCAGGGAGGGAAGUCCCAAUUUGGCUGUGUCAGUGUGAGCUGCUGCAUUGCUGGGAGUGUAAAAUAUUCAACAUGGAUUUUCCGUGGGUUUCACUGAGAAAGCACUGCCACCUUUGGCGUCUCUGGGUUAGCCAGAAGGAUGACUUUAAUUUCUUUAAAGCCCCAAUUUAACCAAAACAGUAAGAAACAAUCACUUGGGCAUGACCAACUUCCUCAUUUGGGAUUCUGCAGCACAUUGUGUAGACAUUUUAGCUGUAUGGGUUUACUUAGGGGAACUACCUCUUCCUUUCAUGACACACUCUCAAAGGAUGACAUCAUUGUGAGAAGGGGCACUUUUUUUGUACAGGAAGCAGGAUUCUUGAAAGGGAAAAAACUACUCAUCAUUCCAAAUUGCUCUGAAGGUCAGCAAUUGUUUCCCUGCAACAGCCAACCUUUCUGCUGAGACAAUCCUGCCUCACUUCUCAGCAGCAGCUCUCAGCUCUGCAAAGUUAUUGAAAAUCAGGGCAAAAUCAAACUGCAGGAAAGCCAGCAGCCUGCUCAUUAAGCUUUCACAUGUCUCUUCAUCCUCAUUAUUCCAAAGGCCUUUAUGUUAUUUCGAGAUGACUUUUAAGGCAAGCUAGCUAAUGUGGGUUAGGUAGUGGUUGUAAUUUCUCUACUAAAAUCUGUUCAGUGAUGUUAUUCUGGGGUUAUUUUAAUGAGAGUUGGACAUAAAAUGUGUCUUGGCUGACAUUACUGAACUGCAUCACACCAAAUCACAAUUCCUGCAUAAUGCGUUUUGGAAGGCAUCCUUCUUCAAUCUUUAGAAUUGUAGCAAUAAAAUUGCACGUUACUUGUUUAAUUACCAGUAAGCCUAUGGAUUAAAGAUAGAUCUAUCUGCCCACUCUUAUUCUGCUGUGUCCAUGCAAAGUAUAAGUUCAAAUCAGUACUUUUCUGGAGCUGGCAGCCACCAGAUAUCUAGUAAUCUCUUACUUGCACACACCACCCAAAUUUUACCCAGCUGCCUGCAUAAACCAGCUGAAGGAAGAGAAGCAGAAUCUUUUAAAAACCUUUAUAUUUUUGGCAGCAGAAUUGCUGUCAUGUUAUGCUAGGUUGAGGCAAAAUCGGGAAGCAGAGGAAAAUAUGGAGAAAGUAAAUGAACUCUGAAAUCUUGGCUUUUAUGAUGAGUUAUGUAAAUGAUGUUAGGGAUGUUUUUGGUGUCGUCACAGUGCACACUGAAGAAUACAAAUGAAGAAAAAAUAAAUCAAUAUGAGUGCAGGAUAAUUUGCAAACUCUACUUCUGCAUCCAGUGCCACCUCUGGGUUAAGAUGAUUUAAAGCUGCCUGUAUCAUACUGAUGGUUUGAGGUGAUGCUGUCACUCUAAAACUUAUCUCUUUUUCUCCCUUCCUUCUGCAGACAGACAAAAUAGCCUUCUCUGCCCCAACAUUUGCUGUUUUCACCUUGUUCUUAGGCAGAUUUUAGGAAUCUCCUUAGGCUGAGAUCAUAUAAACCCAUGUCAGUGUUGACCAUCAGAUAAUUAAUUAUAUUUACACUGAGUGCAAAACCAAAUCUCUCACGUCUUCCUCUGGCCAAGCCAGGAUUCCAGGCUCUCUGCUUUGUGCACAGGCUGAGGCAAAGUUACAUCAGUGGAUGCAAAAGUGAGAUAAUCACUUAUGUUAGGACAGGAGAGAAGGGAAGCUACAGUUUCCAAAGUAAACCAUAUUUAUGGUGUGACUAUUCCUUCAGAUUUCUGAACAUUUUAAACCUCCCCAAUACUUUAUCUUUCUCACUUUGCCCUGGCAGAAGUACAUAUUUCCUGUCCAGGCUGAGCCAUCCUUUAAAAAUGCUCCAUUUUUUAAAAGUGUUCACAGUUUUACACAGUCCCCGCCCCCCCCCCCCCCAAAAAAAAAUUAAUAAGUGUGAGAGCACAAGCAAUUGUUGUGGAAAAUGCUCGCAGAUAUCUGGAUCAGAGGGAUGAAAUUCCAAUGUAGAAGUGUGCUGAAUAGACAAGGCAGAGAAAGAGGUUGUGCCAUUUCAAGGUUUUCUUCUGAGGUUGCCACAGGGGAGCCAGGUGUGCUCCAGACAGUGCUACAAAUGAGAAGUUAGGAGUCCUACUGCUUGCUUACUACCCUCAGAUAAUGUCUAAUUUACAUUUUGAAUGGUUUGUAUUAAGGGAGAUAUUUCAUGCACCUUCACUCACCUGCAAAAGAAACAUUCCCAAAACAGGAAGAGCAUCAGUGAGAGGAACCUCUGCAGGAAAAAAUCAUAUUUCCAUGGUCAUUUCCCCUUUGAGUGGGGUGGCAGAGAACCUGAAAGAGGGACACCUGAUACAGAGUGUGUGGCACACUGCUGCUUCUUCUUCUUGUGAGAGCAGCAAUUCAGGGCCCCCAGCACCCAAAUGUAAGUAACAGAUUCUGUGGGCAGAUGAAAAUAGAAGCACACUAACAAGCUGGCAGGAGCAUCUCUUGAGUUGCAGUGAAUGUUUCAGUAUUGCAGUUAUGGCUUUUAAUCAAAAUUAGUUGUUGGUUUUGGUUGGGGUUUUUUUGGUGUUUUUUGGUUGGUUUUCUUUUCUUUUUUUUCCCCUGAAAGGCUGCCUUUAUUUACACUAUUUGAAAUGGAUGUAGAGUUUGGAACUGAAGCACAUAUAAAUAUUAAAUAUAAUUAUCAUCAAGUCUCCAUUUUCAAAAAGGAUAAGAUUCAGCUUCACAGCAAAGCAAGUCAAGGCUAUGGAAAAUAUUUUGAUGACAUUGGCUCAGAAAAAAGCUUUCUUUGAAGGGCACUAAAGGAACUUUUCCAUUAAAUACCUGGAGAUGCAAAUUCACCCCAUUUAGCAGUGUUGUAGGAAAUUACUUGAAAUACCAAUGUUUUAUGGUAUUUGUUGAAGAAUUUUACAUCCUUUUCUUUCAAAGGCCUCUGUGAAGCAUAAUAUUUUCAAAUCAAAUCAGAGUCUUGGAGUUUGCCAUGUCUGGGGGUGGAAGCCAGGAUACCAUGCACUCAUUGCAAGCCCUACUAGAACUGACCCUAUAGCAUCUGUGAAACCCAAAAGUCACAACCAAAAACUUCAGAUGCCCAAAGCAACGUUAAGGGGGCUGUAUGGAUGUAACCCUGAAAUCCCAAACCCUCCCUGGCUAAUGACUGCUGGAACUCACAGGGCUGUUUUCCUGAUUCCCAGCUUGGUCAGAGGCACAUCAGGGUUUUUCCUUCUUAUUUCCUGGCUCCUGCUUUGACCUUCCUGGAACCAGCUCCUAGCAGAAACACUGCUGCCUCUGAGGUCCAGCUCACUGUGUGGCAGCAGCAUCCAGCUUUUACAUGUUCAUAAAAUGUCUCCUGGGAUUACUUCUGGUUCAUUUUUUUAAAAUCCAAUAUUUACUUAACAUAAAAUGCAUAUAAAGUGAUAGGAGCCAAGCUCUCCUUCCUUAGGAGUUCCUUAAUUUAUAGGAUUUAUGGAUUUAGAGAUUCUCACUCUUAUAGGAUAGUUUUUCCUCUAAGAGAUGAAUUAUUCAUUUUGUUUUUGCAGACUUGCUGUGUUUCUUAGAGCUGAGUCGAUAACAAUUUUUCUUUUCACAAUGAGGAUUGUUUAAAGGGAAGUGUGUGAUGACGAGUUUCUUCCUGACAGAAAGGUACUCCCAGGAAGAACACCAGCUUGCCUGGAUCACAGAGCAGCAGUGCUGCAGAAAUUAGUUACUGAGUCUGUAACACCUUGUGUGAUCUGAGAGUACUGAAAGGCAAAAUAUAAAGUUUCUGUCCAAUAUUAUAAAACAUAUGUCAGAGAUCUUCUGGGAAUGCAGUUCAGCAUCUUUUGUCAAGUCUCAUCUUGAAUCUUCCAGACAAGGAGGGGUUUCUAAACCUUGUGAAUGAUCCUUCCAGAGAUUGCUUCCUGCAGCAAAGGAGCCCUGGGACACCCUUUCUGAACCUCAUCUAGAAAAACAGAUCCCAAGGGAGAACAAGGAGCUGGAAAAUCCUUCCUGAAACAUUUUCCUGCGGAGGCAUACCAUGAUGGGAGAUUAAUGGAUUCAUAGAGCAGACAGCCUUGUGAUUUUACUGAGGUGUGUUCUCUUGUAAAUACUCUGCCAGGAGAUGUGCAGGCAGCUGAAAUAAUGGUCACGUUCCCUCAGAGAGUGUGCCAGACCUGUGUCCCUGGAUUGCUCUGGCUACCUGCAAAGGACAAGGUUUGAGAGAGGCAUGGAUGGAGGUUUUCAUGUGGCAGCAGGAGGAGGUGCUUCCCUCCUUGUUUAUAUUUGUGCAUGACGCCUUGGAGUGGUUGCCUAGAACAGAGGCUAGACAGAGCUAAGAGAAUAAAGUGGGUAUUUAUUAAAGGCCUUCAACAGAUGCACCUUAGGCAGUGCAAAAGCCUUGCAGAGGCUACACCCAAGAUGGAUGGUGGUAAUGAGUUUUUUACACAAUUAUAAGUUUGGUCCAUUUGCAUAUCUGGGUUGAUUCUCCAGUUACAGCUUCAGGUAAUGAAGUCACAUUCCCCCAGUUUGCUCCUCUCCAAUUCACUUUUGUUUGUACUUUUUGGGGCCUGAGGCAGAGGGUGGCCUUGGUUCUCAGGCCUGGAAGGAUUGAUGUGUCUGAACAAAAUGUGAAGAGAGCCUACUAACACUCUACAUGGAGUUCAGAGCUAUACACUGAUGCAGCACAGCACCUGAAAAAUAUAAAAGCUGAAAUCUUAGGGCAUCCCAUAAAGCAUGAGGAGCCGGGUGGUGAAUGGUCCCAAGCCAGACCACCCAGAGGAAGCACAGGGGUGUCCACAGAAUGACAAUCUCUGCCCUGUGGUGACCUGGGUGGCAGCUCUGCAUCAUCUCUGCAAGCACAGUUUGUCCUGUUACGUGCACAAAACCACAGUCCCACGCUCCGAGAGGCUGACCCUGACAACCACAACGCAGCUGACACAGUUGAUGUUUAAAAAUAAAAGAUGCCUCCACGGGAAAAAUCCUCAUGGGUCAGAAAAAGGGAGAUAGUUCUGGUGAGCUUCAAAUCUAUUGUCCAUAGGAGAAGUCUGAAAGAAAUAUGGGAGAAGAAUAAUAUUCCAUAUUCUUUCUCUGGUCUGUGAAAAUAUAAAAUAUAUUUAAGUUCAGAAAACUGAACUUCCCUGUAAGAGGAAAAGACAAAUGACCAACCCAAAAUGGUUUGGGGUCUCUAUGUGAGAAUAUACCUAUUCAUCUGCUUUUAAGUAAAAACUCUCAGUUAAAAAAAGCCAAAACAAAAACAAAAACAAAACAAAACAAAAAAACCCUCACAUUUUUUAAUCACUCUGACUGACAUUCUAAAACUGACUUCAUUUUUCUCAUGGGAAAGGGAAAGAGGGACCUUUUUACUUUAGUCAUGUAUUUUCCCCUCAAAAUAAAAAGCAGCUAGAUCAAGGGCAGCUUUAGGACAUGGAAACAAGUAAAGCUCCCAGGGCAAAAACACCUGGAGAGAAGUUCAGGAGUUAAACAGCAAAUGCUACUGACCAUACCUCUCCCAUUGCAUGGUCAGAUAAUUUUCUAAAUAAAGUACACCACUGGCAUCCUAUCAUCCACUCUAUUGUAAGGUAAGGGAUUGGGGAAUUUGUCUGAAGACCAUAAAUUGUUGUCAGUAUUCAGAAUGACUGAUACAAGCUGUGUUAAUUGCAGUUAAACAGACAGAUUACUGGCAACAAUCAAUAGAGUAGAAUAGAGAAGGAGAUUUUUUGGUCUGAUUUUUCAGAGAUAUGAGAAUACCCUGUGAGUUUUUACUCUUUAUUUUUGUUGGUGGGUUUUGGGGUUUUUUUUGUACACCUUUUGAAUGUUAAUAUUCUGCUGAUGAAUGUUUCAGACAGGAUGGCUGCUGUACUCAGCCAAACAGGAUCCUCUGCAAAGCUUCAGGGCUGAAAUUGUACCCUUGCUUUAAGAAAACGACAGCACUGUGAGCUAAGUGCUUCUUACACAGAAAGAGGAUUUUCAGUUGAGUUUGUGGGGCUUUUUUUGUGCAAAAUUCUAAGCCUUAAAAAUGCAGAUUUUUAACUUAUGCAUUCACCAUUCCUUUGACAGUCCCUGAUUAUUUAUGUUUAGAAAUACAAGUGCAGAACAAUGGAAACUGAAGAUUAUUGUAACUACCUCUAAAUGCUGUGGGAGAUAGUUCAAGUUCCUUCAAAACUAGAUGAAGGAAUCCCCUUUCAGGGAAGUUGUCUAUUUUUCUUCAUUUAUUUAAUAAAUCUAUAACUGUCUAUUAUGUCCUAUAUAGCAGGGCAAAAUACUGACAUCAGGCUUAAAAAUAGCAAUAAUUAAAUUAAUGUGUACUGAC